CGUGAUUUUAAUUGUUAACAUCAGAAAUUCAGAAGGUCUUCAUAAAUCAUAAACAACACAAUGCGUUUUAUUUUCAUUUUCGUGAUCGUAACUGCACUAAUUUUGACAGAAAGUGCGAUUAUUAAGCGUGAACUCCCUAAAUGUCCAAAUGAUGAUUAUCCCUGUUUAUGGCCUGAUGAACCUAAAUGCCCAGAUGAUGAUUAUCCCUGUGUAUGGCAAGAUGACAAAUCGAAAAAUGAAAACCCUUAAGAAUUUCUUGUAACAAAAACUGCAAAAAUGUAUUUAUUUUCCAAAAAAACUCUUAUAUUAGAAAAUUAAUAAAUACGUCAAUACACAAAAGUAAA